AAAAUGAUCAAUUAUAAAGUUUUUAAUUAAAUGAUAAAAGAUGCAAUACAAAAAUGUUUGAUAUUCAGUUUUCCCAUCAGAAAAAGUGUGCAUGAUGCUGUGUAAUUAAUUAAAUAAUGUAAAAUAGGUUAUAUUUUCGCCCAGAUAUACAAUUUAGCAAUAUCUGAGUUAAAAUUUCUUUCUAGAGUUCUGUUUUCAUGUUUUUUCUUGUACCUAACUCUUAUCUCCCUUAAUAUCAAAUGUAUGUAAGAAUAAAUUAUCAUGAUUUUGUCUGGUCUGCAAACAUGGCAAAAGUUAGUGAAAAUAUCUCACUUUUCAGUAAUUGGUGUUUUCUCCUGUAUUAUAUUUGAAUUCGUCUGUGUGGAAAAAAUCAUGAAAUAAAAGUGCUUAAUAUUUUUUACCAUUUCCAAUGAAAUGAAUGAUAUUUGAACAGGCUAUGUUCAUUUAAGUUUGAAAGGAUACAUAUACGUAACAGCUUUCUCUAGACAACACUUCUGUAAAUUUGACAUUGACUUAUUCUAGUUUCUUUGUCAUUGCAAAAAAUUAGAAAAGGUCAUUGGAAAACCUGAAUUGAUGUGACUUUGUAUAUAUAAAAUGUAUUGCCAGUAAAAUUAAUUUCUUUACAUUAUUCAGUGUUAAUAUUCUUUAUUCAAAACUGACUGCAACCAAAACAAUAUAAUACUUUUGGACUAUUUCAAAUGUUGUAAGAAAGCAUAUAUUGGCAUAAAGGCUCCUUAGCAAUAUGAUACUUGCUGAUAACAUUUUUUUCAGUGUUACCAUUUUCUUGUCGAGCAUGCAACUUCUGACCAAGAAACACCUCGAGGUCAUUAUGCAGUCUUCAGCCAAUAUAAAUUUUUCUCAAAAUUUUUUUUUUUUUAUGGCAUAACAAAAAAUAUGAUAAGUAGAAAGAAUACUCUUUGGAGCUUUGAUAGUGAAGUGAGUUUGUAACAGGCAAUCUGAAGAUUAAAGAAUAUGUAUGUGCUAUUAAGGGAGAGCUGUCUCAUUGGCACUGAUACCCAUCUUCUUAUUUUCUAUUAAAAUAAAGAAAGUUAAUAGAAAGUGCAAAACAUGAAUCACAUAUUGGCGACUGGAAAUCAUCUGUUGAUUUUAUCUCACUUAAAAACAAUUGAAAUUGACCUGCUAAAACCAACCAUAAUUCAUACUUUAUAAAAUUAUCAAAUAGUCAUACUGCAAAACCAAUUUUAAGUUAUGAAUAUUAUGUUAUUGUUUCAAAUUGCUUUUACUGUAUUGAUAGUUUGUUUAAGUUUUGUAUAAAUGAUGUGGAAACAUUAUAAGGAAUAAUGUUUUUUGAGGUUUCUAAUUGUUUUACAUGUAAAUACUGAAUGCUGAGUUAAGUUAAAAAUGAAUGAUUGU
rnacentral:lncRNA from 1 species